rnacentral:rRNA from 1 species
GCUCCCUGAAGUCAGCGGCGGACGGGUGAGUAACACGUGGGCAACCUGCCUGUAAGACUGGGAUAACUUCGGGAAACCGGAGCUAAUACCGGAUAAUGCACAGCCUCUCAUGAGGCUAUGCUGAAAGAUGGUUUCGGCUAUCACUUACAGAUGGGCCCGCGGCGCAUUAGCUAGUUGGUGAGGUAACGGCUCACCAAGGCAACGAUGCGUAGCCGACCUGAGAGGGUGAUCGGCCACACUGGGACUGAGACACGGCCCAGACUCCUACGGGAGGCAGCAGUAGGGAAUCUUCCGCAAUGGACGAAAGUCUGACGGAGCAACGCCGCGUGAGUGAUGAAGGUUUUCGGAUCGUAAAACUCUGUUGUCAGGGAAGAACAAGUGCCGGAGUAACUGCCGGCACCUUGACGGUACCUGACCAGAAAGCCACGGCUAACUACGUGCCAGCAGCCGCGGUAAUACGUAGGUGGCAAGCGUUGUCCGGAAUUAUUGGGCGUAAAGCGCGCGCAGGCGGUCUCUUAAGUCUGAUGUGAAAGCCCACGGCUCAACCGUGGAGGGUCAUUGGAAACUGGGGGACUUGAGUGCAGAAGAGGAAAGUGGAA